rnacentral:lncRNA from 1 species
GUAGUAGGGGUAUAUGACCAGCACAAUGAGUUAGUAAAGAAACCUACACCAAUCUGCUCCGAAUGAGACAGUUAUAAGACAUCUCUAUAAAAGGGUAUGGGGCGGGCGUAAAAUAGAAGAAGGAUUCAGGGAUUAUCUUGUUGUAGGUAGGUGUAACUGUAUUGCAAUUAUAACUGCAUGUGAAUCCAAAUCUGGCGCUUGGUUUGAUGCUAGGGAUGUCAAUGGGUACGAAUACCUAAAAUUUUACCGAACUUGAACUAGAACAGAGCAACUUUAUCCGAUACUAAAUGGAUAUGGUUGCAGAUAUGGAUAUCAAAAAUAAAACCCAACGGAUGUGGAUACGGAUAUAGAAUUUGACUGUACCUGACCCGAACCUGAACUCGAACUCGACCCGAACCGAAUUUAUUUUAGAUUAUAUAUAAUAUGUAUAUAAAAAUUUGACGUUAUCUUUGAAUUUGUAUUUUAAAAUUUUAGAUUUAAUGUAAUAUAUUUUAAAAUAUUGAAAAGAGAAAUAAUUAUUUCGGGUUCGAGUUUCGGAUUUUUAGUCGGGUUCGAGUUUUGAUAUUUAUUUUUAAAAUCCGUCGGGUUCAGGUUCGGGUUCGGGUUCGAAUUUCAGGUUUGGAGUCGGGUUCGGAUUCGGAUUUUUGAAAAUUUGCCUCGAAUCCAACCCAUUGACAUCCCUAUUUGAUGCAUUUGAAUCCAACUGCUGCAGUUAGAAACUGCACGAAGAUACUCAACUACAGCAAUUGGGGAGUAACUUUAAACAAAAGAUAAGAUUAUCUCCAUAAUUUUUUAAAUAAAAAAUAAUUGUUUUUUUAUAUUGGAGGUAAUCUUACCAUCAUAUAUAUAUAUAUAUAUAUAAAGUGAUAAAAUUUUACAAGUGCACUUCUCAACUAUAUGCAGCUAAAUGAAUUAUUUAUAAUUAUAGUACUUUCUGCUGCAUCCAUCUAAAUGAAAUAUAUGUAUUUAUAACUGCUAUAUCUCCAACUAUACUGUAUUUCUAAUUACGUCAAACCAAAUGGCCCUUUAAUUUGUCAUGGCUUUUGACAAGGUUAUGGAUUUAAGUUCGGUAAAAGUGCACCGAACUAAUCUAAACUAUUAAUCAUUUUACAUUGUCCGCCCAACUUCUAAAAUCUAUACUAAUCUAUGAAUCCCCAAUAUCUUGCUGACAUGGUGUUACCUCCUUCUUUCAAAACUGCUCUCUUUCAUCUCCCAACCUCCAAAACCCCUCAUCUUUAAAACCGUUCCCUCCUUAUCUCCCAAUAAAACUAUAAUUGAAUGCAUAUAAUUGCACCAAAACUAUUCCCUCUCAUCUCCCAACCUCCAAAACUCCUAAUCUUCCAAAACCGUUCCCUCCUCGUCUCCCAAUAAAACCACAAUUGAAUGCAUGUACUUCAACAAAAUUUUAUAGGAUUAUUGACCUUCCACCUGUUGAAUUGAGAGCACAAUAGAAUAGAAGGUUCGAUUCCUUAUAGCUCUACUUCUAGCAGUAGUUUUUUUUUCGUUUUUCACAUUUAAUUUGUUGUUCGCUUGGAGUUUAGGAAAGCAUUUUUGGGUGUUUUUUUUUUAAUUUUUGGCACAUUUUAUGUUUUUUUUAAUUCGUUCUAACUUCUUGAAAAGUUCCCUUUUGUUUCAGAGAGAUGAUUCUUUUUUAUCUUGAAUGUUUAGAAUAUUUUUUCCAAUAUUAUUAUGGGGAUUUUCAAUGGGCUUUUUAUUGUUAGUUUUAUUGUUGUGUUUCUAUAUUUUCCUCUUAAAAACAAGCCGACACUAAUGUGACACUGAUAAUGUUGGAUUAUUAUCAUAGUGUAUUAGACAAUAAUUAAAAUAUCGCGUUGAUGUCGCGCAUGAUAUAUAUAUUAAUAUAUAUAUAUUAUAUAUAUAUAUAUAUAUUAUAUAUAUAUAUAUAUAUAAUAUAUAUAUAUAAUAUAAUAUAAUGCUCGGGUUACUCAUUAUUGAUUUUUUAAAAAAAUUUGAUUUGCGUCAAAAAAGAAUCGGACGGAUGAAUCUGCUUAUUUGAUUUGUUAAAUAUCAAUUAAAAUCUUUUCAGUGUGCUCUUUAAUAUUUAUUAUCUUUCACUUGCAAUAUUUCAAAUAUUUUUUUUAUAAUAUCUAUAUAAUAAUUUUUCUUCUCAUAUAAUUCUUACUUUUUUUUCGAUUUCUUUUAUUACUUUUUGUUGAGUUGUGAUUCCAUUUUAAAUAUUUUUUAAUGUGUUUUUUAUAUUAUUAAGUCUAAUCAAAUAUAGUUAUAUAUUUUUUUCUUCUUUACAUUCAUAUUUAUUUAUUUAAUUUGUAAAUUUUUAUUAAAAUAUUUUUUUCCGCUGCAUUGCGCGGGUCACUACACUAGUUUUGAUUAUUUCAAUUUGUUUGAUCUGAGUCAGUCAACAAUAUUUUGACUUUCAAAUUUAAGCUAAUCAAUUACUCUAACGAAUUUAUAAUUGCGUAGAAUUGCAUGAAUAAUACUAAUUAAAUCCGUAAAGAUAAAUUACACAUUCAAAUUUUGAAGUCAAAGUACUGCUGAUUGGCUUAAACUAAACAAUUUUAAAGAUUAAAUAGUAAAAUUAAGGGUUAAUUUCAUACAGGCCCCUGCAAGCAUAGUAAAUAACAAAUAUAUUCCUACAGAGUUCAAUUUUUAUAUGUUGUCCCUGUAAAAGUGAUGUUUUUAAAUACGUCCAUGCCGUUAGAAUCCGUUAGAAAAAUUUAGUUAACCAUAGUCAAAUACUUAACCCUGGUUGGUUUUGACAUUUUUACCCCUCUUAUAUUAUACUAUUAUGGUUUUUAGGGCGACAUAUUUGUGAUGGCAAAAUUGAAAAAAUAAAUAGUUUUCUAACGGUAUUAAACCAGAGGAAUAUAUCUGAAACAUUAAAAUUUUUGUAGGAAUAAUAUAUAAAAGUUGAACUUUAUAAAAAUAUAUAUAUCAUUCACUAUGUUUACAGGGAUCUAUAUGAAAUUAACCUUAAAAUUAAAAUCGUCUGUUGUUCAGAUAAGUUCUAUUCGAUUUUAGCUAUUAAAUUUCACCUAAACCUAAAUCUAUCAUAAAUUCGGGCAUGUCCCACAUCUACCCAAAACACGCCUUAUUUUUAUAACUACGCUACUAAACUUUAAUUAUUUUAAUAAUUGAUAAUUAAUAAUUAAUAGAUGUGGAUCAGAUGGUUGUAAUUGAAGUGACAUGAGUUUUAAAAUAGGGUUUAAUCAAGUGAAAAAUAUGUCACUUAAUU